rnacentral:rRNA from 1 species
AGGGAAUCUUCCGCAAUGGGCGAAAGCCUGACGGAGCAACGCCGCGUGAGUGAGGAAGGUCUUCGGAUCGUAAAGCUCUGUUGCCAGGGAAGAAAAGGCGCUUGUUGACUGCAGGCGCAUUGACGGUACCUGAGACAGAAAGCCCCGGCUAACUACGUGCCAGCAGCCGCGGUAAUCCGUAGGGGGCAAGCGUUGUCCGGAAUUAUUGGGCGUAAAGCGCGCGUAGGCGGCCCUUUAAGUCUCGUGUUUAAACCCGGAGCUCAACUUCGGGUCGCACGGGAAACUGGGGGGCUUGAGUGCAGGAGAGGGAAGCGGAAUUCCACGUGUAGCGGUGAAAUGCGUAGAGAUGUGGAGGAACACCAGUGGCGAAGGCGGCUUCCUGGUCUGUAACUGACGCUGAGGCGCGAAAGCGUGGGGAGCAAAC